ensembl:lincRNA
GGCACUUGCUAGUCCGAAAACCACACAAUUUUUCCCUCUACAACUUCUCAGAGGUAGGGAAAUACACAAAUGCAAGAACACUAGUUGUUAAUAAAUAUAGACAAAAAUUAAGUAACCAAUUCUUGGCCCAAGAGAUACACACUCUGCAGCAUGAGAAAGAGUAUGUUAAAACUCUGGAUAUGAGACUAAAGCAUGCUUCCAAUAAACACCUAAGCUUAUUUUAAAGUCAAAGUUUAAAAACCCAUUCCAGUCAAAUGUCCCACCAGCGCCCAUACAUACAUUUUACAAGUUUUGAGAGAUUUUUUAUAAGUGCACUUUAAUUUUCUGGCUGCAGUUAAUGACAUCUGGUAAAGCUUCCGUUGAUUAUAAUUUUUGUAGAAAAAAAUGUUUAAUCAGACAAUAAAUACCGUCCCUCCUGAGAAAGCAUACAGGGCCCAUUACUCUAUGGUCUCUAGGGCUAACUGGACCCCACAUGUUCAUUUGUAAGGACAGUCAAGCAGGGAACGAACGCACGUGCCCUGCCCCGCCUCAUAAGUAAAAACGGUAGGGGGAACCUGCCCUUCGGCGGUGUCCCAGAAUUGGGGACACCUGUGCGCAGGGCACGCCGUGUGAGAUGUGGGCAGCCUGCGGCCCCGGGGCUAACGAUCCCAGCCCGAUACCGACCAGGCCAGCCCCUUCCUCUGAUUUCCACCAGGGCCUGCCCCCGGAGCUCAUAUCCCCGCAAACGCAGGUCCUACCUGAGCUCUGCCCCCAGCUACAAGGCUGCGGGGGGAGUCGGGAGGAGGCGUGGCCUUCCAGCUCGCCAGACGAACUCCCUCGUGCGGUUGUUAUGACUUUCCCUCUCGGGAUCCGCGCCCCGACCAAGUUCGAGCCGCACUUCCGGGGUCCGCGGGCUACUGAAACGUCAUUGUGCACGCGACGGCGUCUGCGACAAUCCGGAAAUAGGCGGAGCGUGGUCGCUAAAUUGGUUCCUGUGGAGCUAGGUGGGCUGGGAGAGAGAGGCUUGUGGGAGAUACAGACUCUGAAGAUCCCAUCAGCACACAUGGAAGGAUCACUUCUGUGAAAUCAGAUGUGGCCAAUAUGAAUAUGAAUGUUUUCUAAUGGGAGGCAUUUAAAUGCCUUAGCUGAAGAUUGAUUCAAAGAAAAGCUCUCUUUUGGAUUCAUCUCAACAUCUAUCAGGUGGUAUUAUUUUUCCAAUAGUCUUUUACGCUAUCCUUUGCUUUUGAAAGAGCUUAUGUCCAACCUAUAAUUAUUUUCUGCUAAUUAGAGUAAUUCAUGGUUAAUUAUUCAAAAUGAUUCCUCUUCAAAAUCAAAUCCAUUUCUUGUCAUGACAUUAAAAAAAGAUACAAAUAAAAUAUUAUCAGAAUGCAAAUUUCCAUCAGAAGGGAAUACUUUUAAAAAAAUUUUCUUUAAAUAGCAUUAAAAUCUUUCUCUACUAGCAAAGGCUCUAUGAUUGCCUACUUCAGUUAAUGUAAGCUAGAGAAGGGCAACUGAACCAUGAAGUGAUGACUAUUAAUGUUUUUUUUUAUAAUUACUAAAUAUUAGCUAUACUGACUAUAUUGGAGUAAGUAAUUUACGAUAUCCUUAAAAAAGAGUUGCAAAGCAGUAAGACCUAAAAACGGUGAGGGCAAACAGUGACUAUGUGAGCUGGAGACACUGGAUGUCUAAGGACGUAACUCUGAAGAUAUACACCUCUUUGUGGACUCUCAUGGGGCUGAAUCUUCCUUUCCUGUUAUUGUCCUGGUCCUAUUUCCUCGAGAGGCAGCUGCUUCCCUCUGGUAUAUCUCCUAGGGAAGCCCUGGAGCUCCCUCUUUUUCUAGGCGAGGAUCAUGCUUUGCCCCUAUUUGGACCAUUGCUCCACUCUGAUCUCAAUCUUCAUUUUGUUCUAUUUUGAUUAUUGCAUGAAUCCCAACUGUCUUUCCUGAGAUGGUAAGGUUCUCCUCUACCUACAUUUUUCUUAGGCUAUACUUAUUUAGGUUUUCAACAUACAUUUAUUGAGUACCUUCAGUGUGCAAGGUCCUGAAGUUGUAUAAUUUUAAAUGAAGCAGGUUGAACAUGUCAACUAUGUAUGACAUAAACAGUUCUAUUAGAUUCAAACAAAGAGAAUAAAAUUAUAGAUGCAUAAAUAUAAGCAUAAGAAAAAAAAAGAUCUUUAGAAAUGGCAGCUACUUCUGGGAUUCAGAAGACAAGAAAAUAAAAUUAUCUGAGAAAUGCUGAAAUCAUUGCUAAAGGAAAGCAAACUCCUUGCACUUUGAUGAGUACUGAACACCACCUUGUUCUCAAUAUUCACUAAAACUCUUCAGCUGAUUUGCCUCCACCAUCCACCAAGGGGAAUUCAGCUCAACUUUUAUAAUAAAAAUUAACUGCAUUAAAUUUUUCUUGAGCAUCUAGAUUUUCAUAACGGCCAUGACAAAAACUAGGAAAACAACACAAUUAGACGGUAAGUGACCUUAUACGGUCUGUGACAAGGACAUUCACGCUUGCUAAAUAGUCCAUGAGUCCCUUUUGAGUUUCAUUGGAGCCAUGUGACUUGUUCUGGCCUCUGGAUUAUGAGCAGAUUUACCAGGUGUCAAAGCAUACCAAUGGGAGGAGAGCCUCUAGUGGGCUCUUUCAUCACCAUGACAACAAAAGUAGCUAGGUAUUGAGAUGGCGGAUUCAGAGAUGUAAGUGGCCUCCAUUGCUCAGUCAACACAUGGAGGGUGAUGCUCGUGGCUCCCAGUUACAUUGCUGCCUUCAACACACAAAAGUCAUGACAUUAAUCUGUGCUGUAAGUGGCAUGGGGGGGGAGGUCUCAAGGUACAUCUUUGCAAUGAAUGAAAAUGUUCCAUAUAGGCACAUUUCUCAUCUAAAUGCCAGAGUAAGUUUAUACAGGCAGCAUAGUGCUGUGUUCUCCAACGCCUAUGACCAUAAAUGCAAAACCCCCUUGUUGUGUUUGCAGAAGUAAUUUCCUAUCUCCCAUAUUUGGAAGUCAGUAUGAAAGACGGCAUGCUGUUUAUUGGGAGGGCCUUUUCUUUCUUUCUUUCUUUCUUUUUUAAUAAAGAUUUUAUUUAUUGAAGAGAGAGAGCAUGAGAGUGGAGAAGGUCAGAGGGAAAAGCAGACUCCCUGUGGAGCUGGGAGCCCAAUGCGGCACUUGAUCCCAGGACUCUGGAACCACAACGCAAACCAGAGGCAGUCGCCCAACCAACUGAGACACCCAGGCACCCCUGGAGGGCCUUUUCUUUUAAAAGCAAAUCAAACAAUUAAAAAAAAAGACAUUCAUAUUAAUUUACUUUCUAUAGUCCAUUGAACUACACUGGAAAGCAGAAUGAAGGUAAUAAUGGACUUUUUAAAAUCUAUAUGGAGGGGUGCCUGGGUGGCUCAGUGGGUUAAAGCCUCUGCCCUUGGCUCAGGUCAUGAUCCCAGGGUCCUGGGAUCAAGUCCCGCAUUGGGCUCUCUGCUCAGNNNNNNNNNNNNNNNNNNNNNNNNNNNNNNNNNNNNNNNNNN